rnacentral:rRNA from 1 species
AGUGAACGCUGGCGGUAGGCCUAACACAUGCAGGUCGAACGGCAGCACAGUAAGAGCUUGCUCUUACGGGUGGCGAGUGGCGGACGGGUGAGGAAUACAUCGGAAUCUACUUUUUCGUGGGGGAUAACGUAGGGAAACUUACGCUAAUACCGCAUACGACCUACGGGUGAAAGCAGGGGACCUUCGGACCUUGCGCGAUUGAAUGAGCCGAUGUCGGAUUAGCUAGUUGGCGGGGUAAAGGCCCACCAAGGCGACGAUCCGUAGCUGGUCUGAGAGGAUGAUCAGCCACACUGGAACUGAGACACGGUCCAGACUCCUACGGGAGGCAGCAGUGGGGAAUAUUGGACAAUGGGCGCAAGCCUGAUCCAGCCAUACCGCGUGGGUGAAGAAGGCCUUCGGGUUGUAAAGCCCUUUUGUUGGGAAAGAAAAGCAGCAAGUUAAUACCCCGCUGUUCUGACGGUACCCAAAGAAUAAGCACCGGCUAACUUCGUG